rnacentral:rRNA from 1 species
UGCGGUAUUUUAACUGUACUAAGGUAGCAUAAUAAUUUGUCUUAUAAAUUGAGGCUAGUAUGAAAGGUUUGACGAAGGUUUAUCUGUCUCUUUUUUAUUUAAUAGAAAUUAAUUUUUUAGUGAAAAAGCUUAAAUAUUUUAAAGGGACGAGAAGACCCUAAUGAGCUUAAAUUUUAUUUUAUUAUAAAUAAAUCUAUAAUAAUUAGAAAAUUUUAAUUGGGGUGAUUAAGGAAUAAAAAUAAUAAUAUAACUUCCUUAUACUUAUAGAACUGUUGAGUUAAGUAACCAAUAUAAUAUUGCUUAUAAUAAAGUUACCAUAGGGAUAACAGCGUAAUUUAUUUAGAGAGCUCAUAUCAAAAAAUAAGAUUGCGACCUCGAUGUUGGAUUAAAGUAACCUUAAGGUGCAGU